rnacentral:rRNA from 1 species
UACAGAGGUCUCAAGCGUUGUUCGGAUUCAUUGGGCGUAAAGGGUGUGUAGGCGGCUAGGUAGGUCCGUUGUGAAAACUCGAGGCUCAACCUCGAGACGCCGGUGGAAACCAUCUAGCUAGAGUCCGGAAGAGGAGAGUGGAAUUCCUGGUGUAGCGGUGAAAUGCGCAGAUAUCAGGAAGAACACCCGUGGCGAAGGCGGCUCUCUGGUACGUGACUGACGCUGAGACGCGAAAGCGUGGGGAGCGAACAGG